AGAUCUGUCUUGACUAUGUUAAAGAUAAUAGAACCGGAUCAGUUCAUAACGGAUGUAGAGGGUUGUAUGAUCAUGACAGAAGUGUUUUUGCUGAUCCAUCACAGAUCUAGCAAAAACGCUGGAGUGAAAAGCCUCAGCCU